rnacentral:rRNA from 1 species
AUAUUGGUCAAUGGGCGAGAGCCUGAACCAGCCAAGUCGCGUGAAGGACGACGGUUCUAUGGAUUGUAAACUUCUUUUGUAGAGGAAUAAUGGCAGCUACGUGUAGCUGAGAUGCAUGUACUCUACGAAUAAGUAUCGGCUAACUCCGUGCCAGCAGCCGCGGUAAUACGGAGGAUACGAGCGUUAUCCGGAAUUAUUGGGUUUAAAGGGUGCGUAGGUGGCGUAUUAAGUCAGUGGUGAAAAGCUGCAGCUCAACUGUAGUCUUGCCGUUGAAACUGAUAUGCUAGAGAGGAGACGAGGUAUGCGGAAUGUGUGGUGUAGCGGUGAAAUGCAUAGAUAUCACACAGAACGCCGAUUGCGAAGGCAGCGUACCAGGCUCCGUCUGACACUGAAGCACGAAAGCGUGGGGAUCAAACAGGAUUAGAUACCCUGGUAGUCCACGCAGUAAACGAUGAAUACUAGAUUUUUGCGAUAUAGUGUAAGAGUCUAAGCGAAAGCGAUAAGUAUUCCACCUGGGGAGUACGCCGGCAACGGUGAAACUCAAAGGAAUUGACGGGGGCCCGCACAAGCGGAGGAACAUGUGGUUUAAUUCGAUGAUACGCGAGGAACCUUACCCGGGCUUGAAUUGCAGAGGAAGGAUUUAGAGAUAAUGACGCCCUUCGGGGUCUCUGUGAAGGUGCUGCAUGGUUGUCGUCAGCUCGUGCCGUGAGGUGUCGGCUUAAGUGCCAUAACGAGCGCAACCCGCGUCGAUAGUUACUAACAGGUUAAGCUGAGGACUCUAUCGAGACAGCCGUCGUAAGACGCGAGGAAGGGGCGGAUGACGUCAAAUCAGCACGGCCCUUACAUCCGGGGCGACACACGUGUUACAAUGGCAGGGACAAAGGGAAGCGACAUGGUGACAUGAAGCGGAUCUCCAAACCCUGUCCCAGUUCGGAUCGGAGUCUGCAACUCGACUCCGUGAAGCUGGAUUCGCUAGUAAUCGCGCAUCAGCCAUGGCGCGGUGAAUACGUUCCCGGGCCUUGUACACACCGCCCGUCAAGCCAUGGAAGUUGGGAGUACCUGAAGAGCGUAACCGCAAGGGGCGCUUAAGGGUAAUACCAGUGACUGGGGCUAAGUCGUAACAAGGUAGCCGUACCGGAAGGUGCGGCUG